ACGCACGCUGGCGGCGUGCUUAACCCAUGCAAGUCGAACGGUGAAGCGCCUUCCUUUUUGGUGGGUGUGGAUGAGUGGCGAACGGGUGAGUAACACGUGAGUAACCUGCCCCCUUCUUCUGGAUAACCGCAUGAAAGUGUGGCUAAUACGGGAUAUUCUGGGUCUGUCGCAUGAUGGGUCUGGGAAAGAUAUUGUUUCGGUGGGGGAUGGGCUCGCGGCCUAUCAGCUCGUUGGUGGGGUGAUGGCCUACCAAGGCGGUGACGGGUAGCCGGCCUGAGAGGGUGGACGGUCACACUGGGACUGAGACACGGCCCAGACUCCUACGGGAGGCAGCAGUGGGGAAUAUUGCACAAUGGGCGCAAGCCUGAUGCAGCGACGCCGCGUGAGGGAUGGAGGCCUUCGGGUUGUGAACCUCUUUCGCCAGUGAAGCAGGCCUGCCUCGUUUGUGGGUGGGUUGACGGUAGCUGGAUAAGAAGCGCCGGCUAACUACGUG
rnacentral:rRNA from 1 species